CUAGGCGCCUUCCCGCCCCUCUGGUGUUCAAGCACCGGGCGCGCGAGGUCCUCGCUUUUAGCCCGCGAGUGCAGCUUCCUCCGCACUCUCUGCAGAUAUGUUUCCAGGCGUCUCCUCUCCGCGAACCCCGGGACCAGGGACCCGACGGGGUCCGCUAGUCGGAAUCGGGCCCUCGACCACGCCUAGAGCGAGCAGGAGGGGCCUGUCUCUGGGAUCUGCGGUUAGCUCGCCUGUGCUGUUCUCGCCGGUAGGCCGGCGCAGCUCAGUGAGCUCUAGAGGAACGCCUACUCGGAUAUUCCCCUACCAUUCCAUAUCAGAGUCUGUGAACUACGACGUGAGAGUGUUUGGAUCAUCGCUCCCUGUUAAGAUCAUGGAAGCCCUGGCGAUGGCUGAGGCUGACGACCAGCUCUCAGUCCACAUCGAUGAAGGUGGUUGGGCCUGCCUAGUAUGCAAAGAGAAGCUCCUCGUUUGGAAGAUUGCUAUGUCGCCUGUGACUAAGUUGUCUGUUUGCAAAGACCUCCAGCUGCCCCCUAGCGAUUUCCACUGGAGUGCUGAUUUGGUGGCACUGUCUUAUGCUGCAACCUCAGGUGAAGUCCAUUCUGUUCAGGCUGUUUCUGUCAUGGUUGCUACCAAAGAGGGGUCCAUCCGCUACUGGCCCAGCCUUGCCAGGGAAGACACCUACUCAGACACCUCUGUGGAUUUGGGAGGCGAGAAGGUGUGCAGGUUCCUGACAGCAGUGCAGGGAGGAAGUUUCAUCCUGUCCUCUGUGGGAAGCCAGUUGGUUCGAUUGAUUCCUGAGGGCUCAGGGAAGAUUCACCAGCAUGUCCUGCCCCAGGGCCAAGGCAUGCUCUCGGGGAUUGGCCGGAGGGUUUCUUCCCUUUUUGGGAUUCUGUCCCCUACUAGUGACCUCAUGCUGGCCAGUGUUCUGUGGGACAGAGGAAAUUCAAGUUUCUACACUCUGACGAGUUCAAACAUCAGCAAAUGGGAACUGGAUGAUUCUUCAGAGAAGCAGGUUUACAGUUGGGAUAUGCACAGAGCCCUGAAGGAGAGCAUCACCGAUGCUAUUUGGGGGUCUGAAAGUAACUAUGAAGCUAUUAAAGAAGGGGUCAGCAUUCAGUAUUUGGAUUUGAAACAAAACUGCGAUGGGCUCCUGAUUUUGGCAGCAGCAUGGCACCUGGGAGACAGCCCCUGUCUUGUCUAUUACUCUGUGAUCACAGUGGAGGACAACGGUAACCAGAUGUCAGAUGCAGUCACCGUUGAAGUGACUCAGUAUAACCCACCUUUCCAGUCUGAAGACCUGGUUGCAUGUCGAUUGAUGGUGCCAGACUUCCCAAGCCAGAUGACCUACCUCUACAUGGAGAGCGCUGUCUUUGUAUGCUCCACAGGAACUGGGAAGGUUUCGCUUCCUCAGGAGAAGAUUGUCUUCGAUACACAGGGAGACGGCAUUUUGGGCGCUGGCUCCUGUGGUGGAGUUCCUAUCCUUUUCUCUAGGAACAGUGGUCUGGUGUCUGUCACUCCAAGGGAAAGUAUGUCCCUGUUAGCAGAAGGCCUGGAAGAGUCUUUGGCCUCUUCCGGUGGUGGACGGGGUAGUGAGAGUAUGGUUUUUGAGACCACAAAAAAUGACACUGCAGCCCAUGAAGACAAGACCAAACUGCUUAAAACUGCAUUUCUGCAGUACUGCAGGAAAGACUUGGGCCGCGCUCAGAUGAUGGCUGAUGAGCUCUUUUCCUCUCACACUGACUUGGAGUCAGAUCCUGAGUUAGACAAGGCUGUGACUCAGAUCAGUGUGGACCUGAUCGAUGACUACCCAGCCUCGGACCCACGCUGGGCAGAGUCUGUCCCCCAGGAGGCCCCUGGGCUGAGCAACACCUCGCUGAUCGUUUUGCACCAGCUGGAGGACAAGAUGAAAGCUCACUGCCUCCUGGUGGACUUCCUUCACCAAGUCGGCCUGUUUAGACGGCUGGACUCUUAUCCAAUCAGAGGGACACCCAUGACCACCCGCCUGCUGCUCUGUGAACAUGCAGAAAAGCUGUCAGCUGCCAUCACACUCAAAAACCACCACUCUCGGCUGCCAGACCUGGUGAACGCAGCUAUCCUGCUCGCCCUGAACAAGAGGGAGUGUGAGGUGCCCCCCAGCCUGACUCCUGCCGAUGUCUUCUUUCGAGAGGUGUCCCAGGUGGACACGAUCUGCGAGUGCCUCCUGGAGCACGAAGAACAAGUCCUGCGUGACGUUGCACUGGUCUCUCAGGAGUGGGCAGAAGUGGCGAUCGAUGUCAAUACAGUCCUCAAGGACAUGCUGCAGGCUGCCGCUCACUACCGCCUAAACAAAGGCUCUAUGUACAGUCGGGAGGAGCCGCUAGGGAAGGAGCCCGAGUAUGUGCCCUGGACAGCCACAAGUGGUCCAUCGGGCAUCCGCACGGUGAUCAUGCGCCAGCACGGGAUCAUCCUGAAGACCGUGUACCCUCAGGCUGACAGCAACCUCCGGAGCAUCGUGAUGGAGCAGCUGGUGGCCCUGAUUGACUGCUUCCUGGACAGCUACGUUUCCCAGCUGAAGUCUCUGGAGAAAUCCAGUGACCAAGAAAGAUACAGCAGUCUGGAAGUGGAAUACCUACAGAAAAGAUCGGAGCUCCUCUCUCCCCUUCUCACACUAGGCCAGUACCCAUGGGCAGCUUCUCUGGCAGAGAAGUACUGUGACUUCGACAUCCUGGUGCAGAUGUGUGAGCAGACGGACAACCAGGCCCGACUCCAGCGCUACAUGACCCAGUUCGCUGACCAGAAUUUUUCAGACUUUCUCUUUCGUUGGUACCUGGAGAAAGGAAAGCGGGGCAAAUUGCUAUCUCAGCCCAUUUCUCAGCAUGGACAGUUGGCAAAUUUUUUGCAAGCCCAUGAGCAUCUCAGCUGGUUACAUGAAAUUAAUAGUCAAGAAUUAGAAAAGGCUCAUACAACACUGCUAGGUUUGGCAAAUAUGGAGACCCGUUACUUUGCAAAGAAAAAAACCCUUCUCGGCCUGAGUAAGCUGGCUGCCCUAGCUUCAGACCUUUCAGAGGACACGCUGCAAGAGAAGAUCGAAGCCAUGGCUGAGCAAGAGCGCUUCCUGCUGCACCAGGAGACCCUGCCAGAGCAGCUGCUGACCGAGAGACAGCUGAGUCUUAGUGCAAUGCCCGUGUUGACUGCACCACAGCUCAUCAGUCUGUAUAUCUGUGAAGAAAACAGAAGAGCCAAUGAGUAUGAUUUCAAGAAAGCCUUGGACUUACUGGAGUACAUCGAUGAGGAGGAAGAUGUGAACAUCGAUGACCUGAAACUGGAGAUCCUGUGCAGAGCGCUGCAGAGAGACGACUGGUCUGGCUCAGAUGGCAGAGACGAUCCAAUCGAAGUGUCUAAAGACAGUGUGUUUGUGAAGAUCUUGCAGAAACUUAUAAAAGACGGCGUCCAGCUCAGCGAGUAUCUACCAGAGGUGAAGGACCUGCUGCAGGCCGAGCAGCUGGGGAGCCUCAAGUCCAACUCUUACUUCGAGUUUGUUCUAAAAGCAAAUUAUGAGUAUUAUGUCCAAGGACAGAUGUGACAUUUGUAGAAAUCGUUUUCUAAAAUUUGUAUAAAUGUUUGCUUAUAAAAAAAAUAUUGAGGCCAAAAAACUUAGGUCUUUUCUUAAUCAA